rnacentral:tRNA from 1 species
CAAAGUGUAGCUUAACUAAAGCAUCUGGCUUACACCCAGAAGAUUUCAUAUUACUAUGACCACUUUGA